rnacentral:rRNA from 1 species
CGCGUGAAUGACGAAGUACUUCGGUAUGUAAAGUUCUUUUAUCGAGGAAGAAAAGCAAAUGGCGAACCAUUUGUUUGCCGGUACUUGAUGAAUAAGCCCCGGCUAAUUAUGUGCCAGCAGCCGCGGUAAGACAUAAGGGGCAAGUGUUAUCCGGAAUUAUUGGGCGUAAAGGGUGCGUAGGCGGUCUAGUAAGUCAGUGGUGUAAUGGCAACGCUUAACGUUGUCCGGCUAUUGAAACUGCUAAACUUGAGUUAGAUAGAGGCGAGUGGAAUUCCAUGUGUAGCGGUAAAAUGCGUAAAUAUAUGGAGGAACACCAGAGGCGUAGGCGGCUCGCUGGGUCUUAACUGACGCUGAGGCACGAAAGCGUGGGGAGCAAACAGGAUUAGAUACCCUGGUAGUCCACGCCGUAAACGAUGAGUACUAAGUGUCGGGUUAAACCGGUACUGAAGUUAACACAUUAAGUACUCCGCCUGAGUAGUACGUACGCAAGUAUGAAACUUAAAGGAAUUGACGGGACUCCGCACAAGCGGUGGAUCAUGUUGUUUAAUUCGAAGAUACCCGAAAAACCUUACCAGGUCUUGACAUGUUUUUGCAAAAUGAUAGUAAUAUCGUGGAGGUUACCAGAAACACAGGUGGUGCAUGGUUGUCGUCAGCUCGUGUCGUGAGAUGUUAGGUUAAGUCCUAAAACGAGCGAAACCCUUAUCGUUAGUUGCCAGCACGUUAUGGUGGGGACUUUAACGAGACUGCCAAUGAUAAAUUGGAGGAAGGUGAGGAUCACGUCAAAUCAGCAUGCCCCUUAUGACCUGGGCUACAAACGUGAUACAAUGGCUGUUACAAAGGGUAGCUGAAACGCAAGUUCUUGGCCAAUCCCCAAAAACAGUCCCAGUCCGGAUUGAAGUCUGCAACUCGACUUCAUGAAGUUGGAAUCGCUAGUAAUCGCGAAUCAGCAUGUCGCGGUGAAUACGUUCUCGGGGUUUGUACACACCGCCCGUCAAACCACGAAAGUUGGCAAUACCCCAAAACGGUAGCCUAACUCG